GACGAACGCUGGCGGCGUGCUUAACACAUGCAAGUCGAACGGAAAGGCCCUGCUUUUGUGGGGUGCUCGAGUGGCGAACGGGUGAGUAACACGUGAGUAACCUGCCCUUGACUUUGGGAUAACUUCAGGAAACUGGGGCUAAUACCGGAUAGGAGCUCCUGCUGCAUGGUGGGGGUUGGAAAGUUUCGGCGGUUGGGGAUGGACUCGCGGCUUAUCAGCUUGUUGGUGGGGUAGUGGCUUACCAAGGCUUUGACGGGUAGCCGGCCUGAGAGGGUGACCGGCCACAAUGGGACUGAGAUACGGCGCAGACUCCUACGGGAGGCAGCAGUGGGGAAUAUUGCACAAUGGGCGGAAGCCUGAUGAAGCAACGCUGCGGGCGGGAUGACGGCCUUCGGGUUGUAAACCGCUUUCGCCUGUGACGAAGCGUGAGUGACGGUAAUGGGUAAAGAAGCACCGGCUAACUACGUG
rnacentral:rRNA from 1 species